rnacentral:lncRNA from 1 species
UCUACACCUUGAACUUAAAAACGCAUCAUAUCUACCAUUAAAAUUGGUAAUUUUGGAACCUUUUGAUCACUAGCCAAAUGAUGUCGAAAAAUUAUGAAAUUUAGUUUCCAAAUACUUUUAAUAGUGUAGAUCAAGUCUAAAGGAGCCGAUCGUCGAUUUGAAAGCCGCAUAAUUGAAAACAACUUGGUAGCACGGAGCUCCAUGCUACCUGAUAGUAUAC